rnacentral:lncRNA from 1 species
AAAUAACCUCACAAGUGUACAGCCCUGCUUGAGUGUUUGAGGUGCUGCCUCAGGCAUUCCCCAACGCUGGCUGGAUGCGGGUUAUCCCCAUUUUCCUGGGGAGGAGGCUGAGGCUGGGGAGGGGCGGGGCCAGCCCAGGGCCGCCCCGCCCCCUCCGGCCGCCUCUGCUGAGGUGUGAUCAGCCCCCCGGCUCGUAUCCCUCAGCCCAACAGAAAAGUAGUUCCAAUACCAUGUUUGUUAACUAGGUUAUCUAGGCUGUGGAAGAUUUUAAUGUUGAAUUUUAUAGCUUUACCACGCUCUGCCGUCCUUGUGAAUAUUGUAAUAUUGCAUUUUUUACAAGUUACUCUUCUGUUAAUGUUCCAGCUAGUAACUUUUAUAAUCCUCCUCAAUGAAAUUUUUUUGUAUUCUUCCGCACCGUUAACCCCAAUGGCGGCGCCUCGGCCCCUGGCAGGAGGCAGAUACGAGAUGAAUUCCUCUUUAAUCAGAAAUAAUAAUAAUAAAAACACACACGCGGCUCCGCUGCCUCUCACUCCGGCUUCCCUCGCCGCCGCCGCCGCCUCUCAGGGCCGCUGCGGGCCCUGCGGCCUAGGCCCCGGGCGGCUCCCGACGGGCGGCUCCGGCAGGCGGCACGGUCGCCCGGCGUCUGCUCCCCGCGCUGCUGCCCCCGGACGCCGGGGCUUUCCUCUGGCCCGGACUCUAAGCCCCGCGCACCCUCUCUCAGCCCGCGUCUGUCUCUCCGGGCCUCUCCCGCCGCCUCUGCCAUCACGGUUGCUCCCUCCUCCGUCCUUGCCCCGGCCUCCGUCCUCACAUCCCGGGCACUCUUCCGUUGUCCCUGUGUGCCCUUCUCCGCCCCUGCCCCUGUCGGGGAUCUCUUCUUCCACCUCCCUAGGUUUCCUCUCAGGCUUUUCUCUUUUCCACCGCUUCAUCUUCUGCCUUUCCAGUCUCCACAUUGUUCUCUUCUUUUUUCUUCUCGGAAGACCAGAUGCCAUUUGGGGUGGAGAGUACGGAGUCCUGGUGAUAGGGGAUCGUGGUCCCACACGCGAGAACAGAGGUGCCCAACAUCUGGAAAUCAGAGUCCCAGCGCUGCUGAACAUCUGGAGCGCUAAUCGCAGGAGCCGAGAGCGGCCCCGGAGUCUGCACCACAGGCUGGGAAUCCGCCUCAGCGGAAUACUGAGAGCCGCCCCGCGCCGCCAGUGCCCCUGCGUGUCCUCCCAUCAGCGGAGCCCUAGGUCCGCUAGGAAAGGUUAAUGGCCCUGCGCCCCACUCCCACCUCCACUGCGGGCCUGGAGCGUGCAGAAUGCGUCCCUGGCAUCAGACUUUGGUGGGGAGGGAAAUCCAGGCUGAGAGAACUAGAGACAAAGGACUGUCAGAAAGACAGACGGUAUCAGAGAAACCAAAAAAGGAACAAAAGCUGCAGAGCAGCAUGGCAGAUGUGAGCACCUGCAUCCGGUGGUGGGGGAAGAAGGCUGCGGAGAUGGUCGCAGAGGGGGCCUGCCUGGGGUCCAGGCCCCAACUGGGAGGAGGAGGUUGGCUCAGGGCAAGCAGAAGAAAAGCUGAAGAAGGAUGCACGAGAGGAGGGUCGGUGUGGCAGAUGUAAUUAAUUACUGCAUAUUAAAAUGUUUGUUUACAGAGAUGAACAGCGGCCAGAGGUCUGAUGGUAAUUAAUUCACAGCAUUUCGAAGCCCUCUUUGAGCCCAAACCCCUCUGGGAGGCCUGGGGGUGGACUGGGUGAGGUGCUGGCUUGUUCUUGCCCUCCUCUCACCAGGGAUUGGAACCCAAAUUGCUGACACUGGAGGGAACCUCAGACAGCGCCUACUCAAGCCCCAUUGCACUCCACACGCUUGGGGAACCCAGGCCAGAGACGAUUGGUGAUUAGUGGUAUUUGCUCAAUGCCACCAGCUAGUCAGUGAUGGAGCCAAGACUGUAGUCCCUGUUUUCUUGCUCCUAGAAAUGUGUUCAAGGCCAAAGGAACACUGAGGAGAUGGUGAUCUUGGGCAGAGAUGAUAUAACAGAGAGGGCAGAAAGGAGAAUUGGGGCCAAAGAAAGGGCUUGGGAAGGAGACAGACUUAGGGCCCAUUGUGGAGAAAGGACCAGAGGCCACGCACUCUGGAGAGGUAGGUGGGACAGCGUGGUCAUCGGAGAGCAACUCCUCCCCAUCACCACACCAUCCCGGGCCAUGAGGAGAGAGGCAGAAGCAGUUAGUAUCCCUGGCCUCAGAGUCUGACGGUCGGGCAAGCUCUGCCACUCCCAGACUUGGG